CACAACCCUGAGCAGCUGGGGGACCCCAUCCCUCCACUGCCCCUGAACUAUUCCUCUGUCCAGGUCCUUCUCCCCAGGUCCCUGUGAGACUCCCAAACCAGGACUGGGCUUUGGGCAAACAUCCCUGCUGAGUCUUGCCCCACCAGAUGUCAGUAGGUGUGAACACCUAUACAAAUCUGGAUGAAAAUGGUGCAGCAAGAAAUUCAGCCUGAAUGUCUUUAUACAGGAAAGAAGAAAGAAAACCAGCCUUGUCAAACUGA